UAAUCAUUGAUGGAAUUCUAUUGGGUAUCCCCGAUUUUUAGGAAAAAAUUUCUUAGACAUAGUCAAUAAAGAUCAUUUUUUGUUCUGUUUCUCAAAGUGUCUUUCUUUUUUCCCUUCAAAUCUUCAUCUAUUCAAAGAAACUUGUAUAUAUUGCAUUUCGGUUAUGCGAUGCACUUUGUUCAUUUUAACUUUGGAUCAAUAUACCUCACCAUGAACAUGUUCUUUUCUAAUGACCAAAUAAAGAUGUUCUAGUAUAGUGACGAAGGUCAUGAAUGAGCGCCGAGGGAGGGAUAUAUUCGGGCAACGAGGAUGGAAAAAUGGAAUGAAUACUUCAUGGAGGCGUAGGAAAUAAAAUAGGGAUAAGUGGGUUUUCUGCUUGACUGUAUAGCAUGAUUGAGUUUUUCAGUCGUGUCUAUGUUCAAGUUUAUGGUAUUCUGUGGUUGAUUCUGUUGAUUUCACACGUUUCACUUCCAUAUAGUGUGUCAACCGAAACUCUACGUGAAGGUUUACUAUAAGAAAAAUUUCAAUUUGUUUUUAUUCUAUUGUUUACUCUCCGUGAUAUUUUUUCUCUUUUAUUGUCCUUGUCUUUUCUGGAUAUAUCCUUUGCACAUUGGUUUUAUUCAUUGUUUUCUAAUUAUGCUGGGAGUCUUUUUGUGUUGUAAGGAUUGGCGUGGGCGGGGCUUCAUUCUUCCAAACUUGGUGUACUAUGGUGCAGUGCGUUAUUGCUUGCAGUGAUGAAGUUGCUUCGAGUACUUAAAUGGAGAGGAGACGGAAAUAUUAAGGAAGAAAUGAAUGAGAAAUGAAAAUGUACAAAGACUUUGAUCAAGUAUGGUUUUGUUUUAUGCAUAUUUUUAUUACUAGAAGUUGGGGAGAUUUGAUGGUUUACAGAAGUCAUAAAUUCAAAUAUCCCGUUUAAUCGCUCAUCUAUUAAAGUUAAUAGUAGAAUGUAGUUUCAUACCCGGGAGAAAUUU
rnacentral:ncRNA from 20 species